GAUCAGACUGAGAGUUGGUGGUGAGCCAGAAUUUGGAUUCAUGUCUCCUUUUGAGACUUCUGCGAAACAAAUUAAAUGGCAGAAAAUCAAGCUUUGAACCCCUCCCAUAGCAAACGCCAGCACAAACUUUGUAAGCAUUGUGGUCUCUCGCUUCUGAGAAGCUUGUAAAAUAGCCUGUGAAUAUUCUGUGCUUUCUCUUUCAUUUCCCCAGCUCUGAAAAUGUUUAUGAAUGUUCCAGCAUAUCACAUGAGCUCAGAUGUUAAGUAACACAGGCAUCAACAAAGCUGCCUCUACAAACUCUCUUAAGCACACGGCAGUACAGUGCUUGUGGGCUAUCACUCUGAAGGAGGUGCUUGAGUUGCUCUUCACUCACCUAUUAUAAACUAGGGCUGCCAAUCAAUUAGCUCAACUUUAACUGAUAUUAAAUUUCAUUAGGCUGAUUAAUCACAUGCCUUUAACACAAUGAAUGGGUUAACCUUAAAUAGAUUUGCAUAUUAUGAGAAACCUUAUUGUAUUUAAUUGAAAAUAAUUAAUUAUGCGAUCAUUUUUACUCCCAGAGAAACUUUCAUAAGAGCAAUAAAAACAAGACAAUGACUGACCACAGCUUUAGAAAAGGGUGAUAAGGAAGGAAUAGGAAAACAGCAAAUUCAUUCAACAUCUGUCAACUGUUCCGGAUAAACCAGGACAUCCUAGUUUUUCCCCAUGAGAGCAUGGUGGCCAUUCUGGAUGCCACGAUCUUGGGCUGCAAUCUUGCUUGCAAAAAGUGCUUUUGGGGGGGAGGGGAGGCUGCGAUCUUGCAUGGGUCACAUGACUCAUGCAGGAGUGUGUACCUGGAAGCGGUGCCCUGGUUUUAGGCAACAUCAUGUUGGAGGGCAUAGUAGUAUUUUAUAAUGACCAGCAGGACCGGUUAGCAGGAGGAGCAGCCAGAUGGAGUUGAUCUCAUCUACGGAGAGGCCUUGCUUCCCUUCUCAGAUGGAAUAAAUGCUUCCAGGUGACAGGUGAGGGAGGGAAAGCCCAUUGGAGCUGAUUAUUCAGCAGAGCCAUUGGAGAGGCCCUGCUUCCCAUUUCUUCUGAGUGCCUUUUAGACGUAUUGAAGCAUGUGUGAGAUUGCUUGCAACUUAAUAAACAAAAAAUAAAAUCACAUGCCAUUUGGAGGAAAUGCCAUAUUUAUAUUAUCCAGCUCACUUCCUUUUACAGUAGCAUACCAGAACCAAAACAGCCUCGAAAAAAUAUUAAACAAACAAGUCCUGCCAAUUAAAAUUGACCCACCCUGUUAAUCAACUAAAGCUUUAGCCACUGAAUUUACAGUUUGCCCGAUUGAACAUUGCAGUCUUCCUUUAAAUGAAUCAAGUGGAAAGGUCCUAAGGGUCCUGAUGGAAACAAAUGAACGAGGGCAUAAGAAGGAGCGGGUCACUGACACACGGAGAAUGCCGGCAACCGGCUGAUAUCAACUGGAAUUAGCCUUUCAGAUUAAAUUGCAAUUAAAUUGCAAUUAAUAAAAGUAGAAGGCGGCACUAAUUGCAGUGCUGAACACUGUCAACAGAGGAAUGUGGAUGUCUUGUCUUGGAUACUAAACUAAGUUAACAAUAGGAGCCUAUGCGUGUCUACACAGAAUUAAGGCCCACUGAGUUGAACUUGCUUUACUUCCAGGUAAGCGCACGUAGGACUGUAGCCUUAAGGAAGUUCAUGGAACAUCUCUUCCUCAGAGGCGUACCUAGCCUCCCUUGGGCCCUUGGCAAGGAGCUGUAUUGGUGCCCGCUCCACCAUCCCUUGACCUUUGGCAAGGAGACAUAUUGGUUCCCCCAUCCCUUGUGCCCUUGCCAGAGCAGCCAAGCCAGAGUGGAAAUGCAUGGUCAACCAGGCCAACCCCAAAGUACGCCCCUGCUCUUCCCAUCCCACAUUUAAAGUAAGGGCCCCAUCCCUCCCCUCGCCCCACCUGAGGGGAUUUUUUUCUGGGUACAAGUGAGGGCAGGAAAGGGUGGGUGGGAAGCUUUCCUUUCCUGAACUUCCCUCAGCUGACUUAGCUUAGGAUCAAAGCCCCUAUUUCUAUUUCAUAAUGAAUGCGGCAGAGACGUGGAUUUGCUGCUGAGCAGACUGGCUUAUCACUAGGGAGGGUGGGUGAACUGCUCAUUCACAGCAGAACAACUUUUGUUUUGUUUCAGAAUGAGCCAUGUCCCAGACAGACUAAGGAAACAGAUAUGAAAGCACGAGAAGCUGGAAAGUCCCUCGGCACAACUAUUUAGGCUAGGAGUUGAAAGAUAAAGCUUUCUAAUAGAAACAGUUCUGUCCUGUCAGUACCUAUUAUUGAACUCGCUACUCUGUACAUUUCCCCCUGAAGAAAUGCCCCCCCAGGGGUUAAAGCACAGCAGCUCUUUACAGGGUUUCCAGCUGGAAUGAUAGAAGCCUGUUAUAUGCCUGGAUAUUUUUCAGCGCAGAUUAUUUGCGGCAGGAGGCCAUUGUUUUUUAGGUGUGCAGGGCUCAUGGGAUUUGAACUUGUACAGCAGAUUGCUUAUGAUCCAUGGACAGAACGCACCCGCUGAUCUUAGCGGCAGAGCUUUGGACACACUUCAAACGGGAGAGCGAACGUGCUUCAAAGUAUAAUGGAGGAAAUGUUCUGCUAAGUAGGGAACUCCGCCUCAUAAAUAUCAAGCUGAAGCCAACAUGGAAAAAAAAGUCAACACAGAAACGAGUAUGUUCUGUGAGAAAAUGUUCCGUUGGAGGGUUUUGAGUAUCUGGAGUACAGUAUCUUCCUACCCUACUGAAGUGUUGUCUCAUAUUUUUGCUCAAUGAUGCUGAUUCACUUUUAGCAAGAAGGCUGAGGCAUGGCCUGCCCGUAGCAGAGAGUUUAGAAGGAGGCCAGGCCAGAAGAGCGAAUCAUACAGAGAUGGAGUCAGCAGCCUCCUCUGAGAAGGGCUGGCCCUGCCAUUGGGCAGAGUGAGGCAGCUGUCUCAGCAGGGCAGGAUUAACCAUUCAGCAAAAUAAGCAUGUGCUUAGGGUAUCAAGGGAAGGACGGCAACACAGAAAUUUUCCAUUGCCGGGUUUUUAACAUCAGUGGCCACAAAUUGCUCAGCUGAGCGUUCAUUUUCUCAGUGGAAGUAGAUUAAAAAUCCCAACAGAACAACUAUGCAACAAGGCAGGCUGGAUGCCUUCUCUCUACUAAGUACAGAAAUAGGUGUGUUAUGUAAGAUUAGUUCUGAGAGUUUGAUCAAAGACUUGGCAUUUAGAAAAUAAAGGAGAUUCCCCCCUCCAAAUAUAAAUAAAGUGAAAGUAUACAAAAAUAAACAUCGCUGUCCAUCUUACUGUAGGUUUUGUUUCAUUUUGAAAAAUAAAAACUUAUUUUACGGUUUAUUGUUGUUUAUAUUUUGAAUGGGGGGGCCCAACAUAUUUUCAGUGCUUAGGGCCUGCGCCUCAGGCAGAUGUUGUGGGUGGGGCAGGCAAACAAGGAAGUUGUACAGCUCUGUGUGUGCAAUGGAGUCUCCCCUAAGCUCAGCCAAGCUGUGGACCACCCUGUUUACAGUGCAAAAGUAAGAUUUCAACAGCUAGUCCGGUCAGCUUUUUGAAAGUGGGAAGACAAGAGGCACCAACAUGUUCAUAAUUUGUUGAUUAAAUAAAUUUAUAUCCCGCCCUUCCCCUUGAAGGAGCGCCCAGGGCCACAAAAAGCAUCUUAAAAAACAAUUCUGAUACAGACACAGAGUGAGAAAGAUCUCAACUGAAAAGAUCUUUGCCUCGGGCAGCAAAAGAUUUUGGGCCUGCCCUGCCUCUGCAGGUGGAUAAAGCCUUUAAUUGCUUAAGCCUUAAGUAAUUGUUUAUUUGCCACAAGAUGCUCACCUGUUCUGCCCGACACACAAAUCUGCCCAGGUGAACCAUCCGAGGAUCCCUGCUGCAAAAAUAUUUUGUGUACUCUUAAAAGUAAAAAAUAAAAAGUGAAUUGUGAAGCAGCUGUUAUACUGUGGAGGUUUCAGGCUCCUCAUGCUUUGACUCUUCGGUUAAAAAGGGCACUGAAGCAGGUGCUAGAGCCAAGACUUGGAGAGAGGUUGCCAGCCCAAACAGGCAGUGCUGGACCAGUUGGACAAAUAGCCCGGCUUGGCAUAAGACAGCUUCUUAUGUGUGCUCAGGCCUAACAUCAGGAAGUGUCCCUUGCCCUCCAUGAAACCAGAGCAAGGCAAAUCCUGCCCUCUAUUCAACCUGAGUGAGCCAGGCACAUAAUUCCUUCCAAGCCUUCAAAUCCACAGGUUCUAGAUGAGGUCGUCUGGCACAGAGACGGGAGUUCCAGGUGGUCCUUUUCUCCACCAAUAAUCCUCCCUGCUAAUCCCCAGAUGCAAAUUCUAAUGGCACACAUGGCGCCCAAUGCUUACCCAGGGUGCUCCUGCUGCUGCUGCUGCAACCAAGGCAUCCAAGGCUUGCUGCCGCAGACAGGGGGUCAUUAAAGUUGGUGCAGGCCCACCCGAUGGCACUUACCCCUUCCUCUGCACUUGUUUUCCGUCUGUGAGAGGGUAAGAAUUACCUUCCCAGAUUUCUGCUCUGGGCAUGCGGCCAGAUUGCAAGAAGGCCACCUCAGAGCAAGACUGCAGACUGCAGAAAUGGUCGGCCUGAAUGCAGGAGCUAGGCUGCGCACCCCAGACAUCCUAGCAGUGUCCCUCCUGACCAGGGUGGCCCUGCAGACAUUGUUAGACUCCAACUCCUGCCAUCCCUCCUCCCUCACAAUCCACUUUCCUUUCGGGUGACAUCUCUUUAGAUCAGGAACCUGAGGGCAGGGACCUGUAAUUUGCCCAGCGAUCCUUAAAACAACAAGAACAACAACAACUGAGGAGCAGGAUAAAAAUUCUUUAAAUAAAUUGAAUAAAUUCCAGCCUAUUUCCUGUGCAGGCAGGGGCUGAUGGGAGUUGGAGUCCAACCACAUCCCGAAGGCCAAAGUUUAGCCACUCUCUUUUGCCGGGCAGGCAGAGAACCUUGUGCCUUAGUUUUGAGCGUUUUCAUGAAUGCCAGGGGCUGCAUUCUCGCCAACUCAUGCUAACCUUAUGCUGCCGUGUGUGAUCAUGUGACUUCCACCACAGAGUUCCCUAAGAGGAUUGGGUGAAUAAAGAGGCAACCAGCCCUCUUUUGAGACACAAAUAGCCAUGUUCAUUAGCAAAUAACACACUGCGAGGCAAAUUAUGGUGGGGAGAGGGAAACAGCAACAACCAUGAGGAAAGCCAAUAGAUUUGCUAGUAAAUCGGAUAGACGUGGACAUUUCCCUCAGCAUGAAAGUCCUUCUGUAAAGCUGAGGGAAGCUGUCUAGCGGCCUGAGCUCCUGUAAUUCCUGGAUUCCAAUCCCAGCUCUGACAUUAACGCCGCGUAAUCCUCUGGCUCUGACAUUAAGGGCAAGAACCUCAGCUGGCACGGCUUGGCACGGCUCCACUGACAUCCGUGGCUUAAAAGUGUUAGCUCACUAAGGCUGCAAUCCUGCACACACUUAUCUGGGAGCAAGCCCCUUUGAAUGCAACAGGACUUCCUGCUAAGUAAGAUGGCAUAGAGCAGGGGUCAGCAAACUUACCAUGCCUUGGGGCAGUGUCUGCAGCGCCAAUUGUGUGGCAGGCUGGAGGGCGGGGGAGCGUGUGCCCAUACACACGCACACACGCUAUUUCCGGCGCACUUCCGGGUCGGAGGAGCACUGGAAAUAGCUUGUGCACGGGCCUCCCCCAACCCAGAUGUGCACUGGAAAUAGCGUGUGUGCAUGGGCAAAUAACGCUUGCACAUGCACACAAGCUAUUUCCAGUGCUCCUCCAACCCAGAAGUGGGCAGCCGCGCAGCGCAGCACCAUGCCGGUAAGAGCGGGCGGCGGCAGCGGUCACCGCAGACCAGAAAAACAAGUCCCUUGGGCCUUAUCUGGCCCGCGGUCCUUAGUUUGGGGACCCCUGGCAUAGAGUCACUGUUCAAAAAGCUGAAGCCAUGCCUCUUGUUCUGUGGAAGCAGCAUGGCAACAACUGUCCAAUCUACCCUGGAGAAUUCUGGGAGUUGUGUUGAGAGUUUUCAGGAGAAACCCUAUUACUCACACAGAGCUGCAACCCCAGAAUUCCCUGGGAAGAGUGUUUGGCUGUUAAGCCACUCUGGAAAUAUUACCUCUUUGAAUGGGUAAAGGGAUCUCCCAACAAUUCUCAGCAUCUUUAACAAACCACAUUACCCAGAAUUCUUCAGGGGAAGCCAUGACUGAUUCAAGUUCACAGUCCUUAAAAAUAUGGUGUGGAUGUGCUACACACCUUUGGUCAACCUACUGAGGGUAACACGGAAUUCAACAUACCAUGGAAGUAGUAUCCCUUCCAAGGAGCCAUUGAAUGUCUGAAACAAGAAGGAAGGAAGGAAGGAAGGAAGGAAGGAAGGAUAGACGAAUAACUCCAAAUCUGCACAUGGCUGUUCCUUUUCCUCCCACACCUCCUUUCUUCCCCCUUAACAAACUGUUGGUUUGGCAAUGGCGUAGAACAGCUGAAUACCCAUGGCAGGACAUCAAGAGAAAAAUACUAACAGACGCCUAAGUGCAUUGCAUAAUGCCCCAAACCUUAACUCACUGGCUGUGCAUUACUGAACAACAAUCAGAUGAUCUCUCUCUAACUUUGGAAAAUAAGAACCGGCUGGGCUGGGAGGAGGGGGGGCAGAACAGCAGCCACAAGGGUUUUAAUUUCCAUAUGGGUUUUAUUUUUGCAUUGUUCUGCAUUUCCUGGUAUUUAUAACAUUCAGAGGUUUGUGCUGCUUUUCAUGUUUUUGUUAUCUUGCUUCCUACGAUAUGCUUCAUCUCAGCGUUUCCCCAGAGCUUUAUCUAUGAAGGACGCCUGGGCAAUCUUUUUUUUCCCAGUGGGGCAUCUAGAACAGCCUUGGCUGGUGCCCUCCAGAUGUUUUGCUUUGCAAGUGACCAUGCCGGCCACUGGGACAAAAAGCAGUUGUCAGCGAAAACAUUUGGAGGGCAUCAGGUUGGCAAAGGGUGGUCUAGAGACACGCACCUGGUCACUUGCAGCAGGGGAACUGGGGUCCUCUUUUCUAAGCUGUGAGUAUGAGAUGGUUUAAAUGUCUGUGGGUGUUCAGCACACCAUCAUAUGUGAGGUCGUAACAAUCAGUUGCAGGGCACACACAUAAUAACAACAACACAUAACUGCAUGUGAACACACACAUGAAUUUACACGAUUACAAAUGAACUUAGGGCUAGUUUAAGUGUUAACCCUGCCCCUGCACACCUCAUAGUUCAGUGAUCUGUGCUGGCUCCAAGAUUUGGUGGAGGGUGGAGUUCAGGCUUGGCAUGUUCAGUGACACCCCCCUCCCCCCCCCAAAUACCUGGAAGAAGCAUAUAAACUUAUUGCACACUCUGUGCAAUGUUGAAAUGGUAGCACUGAUAGGCCAAUAGGCCCUCCACUGGUUUUGUGGCCCUAUCAAUGAAUCCCUCAGCUUGCCUUCCCCUUUCCACCCAGCAAACCUCGGUGUCAUUCAUCCAACAACAUAAAUGCUCCAGAGCAAAGUCAACUCGUCGGCCUGGCUUGCACUAAGCCAAACCAUGGUUUAGUGAGAAGGCAUAAAUGUGUGGAUCGCUGAAGAGAUCACAGCUGCUUUCCUCUUUCUCCUCCUCCCCUGGUCCUGCUGCUGCUGCAUGGUUUGGCUUAGGGUCUCAUCUGAAACCCAGGCUUGCCAUUUGUCUUGCUCCAGACAAAUCACAAGCUGUAGCUAUUUUCUAUGGCUUACCUCUUGUGGCUUGUCUGCAGUAGGCAGGUGGAGAGGACAUGCUACACUAAACCAAAUGACACAUUCAGACUAGAGAAGGAGCAAAGCAGUCUUGAUCUUCUCACUGAGAGUUUGCCCACCCACACUAAACCAUGGUUUGGCGUAGUCUUACAUGCAAACUGAGGAACUAUUUUACUGUCAUGAGCGUCAAUCCAACUUUCAAACUUUCUAGAGUACUGCCACUCUAGAAUAAGUGGUUUGGCGAUUAGGAUGUAAUAAGUCUUCUUCCAAGUGACAAAGUAAGAUGUUGAAAACGGACAGAGUGAGGGUUCUUUUUCCAAGCAAGCAUAAAGACGCAGGCUCUCUAAGGUUCAUUCUCUAUUGUCUCCACCCCAGCAGCAAAUGCAGCUGUGAAGAUCCAAGUGUGCCACACUUUUCCCAGACACAAGUGCUACCAGACAGUUGGGACUUAUAUAGAAGCACCUCCAGUCAACACUGAAAUCAGUAGGGAAUAGAGGGUGCUGAUGUGGUCACACCCACAUCAUACACUGAAUGCACAUUUCCUCCCCAAAUAAAUCCUGGGAACUGCAGUUUACCCCUCAAAGAGCUACAAUUCUCAGCACCCUUAACAAAGACAGUUCUCAGGGACGCUUUGGGUGAAGCCAUGUGCUUUAAAUGGAUGGCACGACUUUGUUUAUCUCCUCGCUUGGUCUUUCCAUUGGUUUUUUUGUUUUGUUUUUUCAAAUGAAAAGCUUUGCCUCAGAUUCCAGUUACUUCUUAUCCCUAAGUACACUUGUUGCCAAGAGACAAUUCAGCGCUGCUUUCAGUUCCUCCCUGCAGCCAUUGAGGAACCAAGCAGUAGGCUGUAGGAAAUAAACACUCUUCAUUAUUACCUUUUUUUUUUUUAUUUUCAACCAAUAUGCCCAUAGCAACCAGCAGUGAUAAAUGCAGGACUAACGCGCUGCCACAAUCUCACCUUUCUUUCUUUAUAAGUAAGUCAACUACACAGCUCAUAGAAAACAAGAGGAGAAUAAGAGAAACAGUAAUGUCCAGUCACAGAU